UACGUAGGGUGCAAGCGUUGUCCGGAAUUAUUGGGCGUAAAGGGUGCGUAGGCGGCAUGAUAAGUUAUUGGCGGCAAAUCGAGGCUCAACCUCGUGGAAACUGAUAAUACUGUCUUGCUUGAGUGCAGAAGAGGUUAACGGAACUCCAUGUGGAGCGGUAAAAUGUGUAGAUAUAUGGAAGAACAUCAAUAACGGCGAAGGCAGUUAACUAUUCUGUUACUGACGUUGAGGCACGAAAGCGUGGGGAGCAAAAAGG
rnacentral:rRNA from 1 species